UACGAAGGGGGCGAGCGUUGUUCGGAUUUACUGGGCGUAAAGGGCGCGUAGGCGGCGGGUCAAGUCGAGUGUGAAAGCCCCGGGCUCAACCUGGGAGGUGCGCUCGAGACUGGUCUGCUAGAGUUCGGGAGAGGAGCGUGGAAUUCCCAGUGUAGAGGUGAAAUUCGUAGAUAUUGGGAAGAACACCCGUGGCGAAGGCGGCUCUCUGGGACGGUACUGACGCUGAGACGCGAAAGCGUGGGGAGCGAACAGG
rnacentral:rRNA from 1 species